CAUCUGAAACAUGGCAUGUCUGGACUAGCAAUAACAUUGGGGGGAGGGGAAGUUGUUACUGCAAAAAUUAGGUCCCAGAAGGCCUGUGGUUUAAAAGAAAACCUUUAUUUUGUUCUUGUUUUCCUUUUCUGAGGUAAUCCUUUCUUGUGGACUUCUGUUUGAGGCUCUUCUGAUAACUGCACUUUUUUGAUAGGCACAGUGUUCAUGAGACAGCUCUUAAUAGGUCACUACUACUACCGCGGGCCAGUGGACUUCGCUGGGAAUGCAGAAGGAAGUCCACACAAAAUAAGCUAUGAGACUAGAAGAGAAAAGAUUUUGGAAGGAAGAGCAAAUCCCUAGACGGAAAUGGCAGAGUCAUCUGGCUGCAAGUAAGCUUCGGUAAGUUUGCUGUACAUUAGUCAAAAUUA